GACGAACGCUGGCGGCGUGCUUAACACAUGCAAGUCGAGCGGAAAGGCCACUUCGGUGGUACUCGAGCGGCGAACGGGUGAGUAACACGUGAGUAAUCUGCCCUUGGCUUUGGGAUAGCCACCGGAAACGGUGAUUAAUACCGGAUAUGACCACUUCUCGCAUGGGAUGGUGGUGGAAAGUUUUUCGGCCAGGGAUGUGCUCGCGGCCUGUCAGCUUGAUGGUGAGGUAAUGGCUCACCAUGGCUUCGACGGGUAGCCCGCCUGAGAGGGUGACCGGUCACACUGGGACUGAGACACGGCCCAGACUCCUACGGGAGGCAGCAGUGGGGAAUAUUGGACAAUGGGCGGAAGCCUGAUCCAGCAACGCCGCGUGAGGGAUGACGGCCUUCGGGUUGUAAACCUCUUUCAGUAGGGACGAAGCGCGAGUGACGGUACCUACAGAAGAAGCACCGGCCAACUACGUGCCAGCCGCCGCAGUAAAAC
rnacentral:rRNA from 1 species